ACAGAUCCAACCGAACAGCCGCAAGACAAGGGAGAAGUGGCGAUAAGAACCGGAUUGUGCUCCUUGCUCCCAUAAGAACGACAGAGUUACCAACACACGGUCUCACACACAGACUCCACUAGGGUUUGGGCCUCACCUGAAGGAGAAAAUUGGGGAACCAAACCCUAAGCCAGCUAAAUCCGACCUCCCCACAGACCCUCCGAAGCUCCUAAUGACUCGCCUUCACUCCAGAUUGAAAGAGAGAAGCGUCAAAUUCGAGAUCUGCAAACCAGAUCUGAAAGACGCCAUCAUCUUCCGUCACCAGGGCGUCAUGCAUAUCACCGAAGGAGAGGAGAACUGGCAGGAGGCAAAGAAACACAUACAAACAGAUCCGUAACAGGUGCACGCGCCGUCACGGUAGACGAUGUCUUCACGGAGAGCGUCAAAGACAUCGUUAUAAAUGGUGAAUUUGAAAGACCUACUAAUAAAGAAAAUAGUACUACUAGUAAAGAAAAUUAAAAUAGAUAUUUAUGGCAUUAAAUAAAGAAGAAAUAAAUGGGGCCGACAAGGUUUGAAGAAACUAAUUAUUAGAAAGAUAAAGAAAAACGGAACGAAUUGGCAGUAUAGGAAAGUGUUUGAAGAAAUUAAGUUUUCUUGCGAGUCGUCACUUACAUCACCAUUAAGUUAGCUUCUCCUUUGGUACUAAGAUAGCGCCACUUGUCAUUCUACAGUAAAAAAAUAUUACAAUUAUUUUGGAUAAUUAUUGUGUAUAUUUCAGGUGAGCUUGGUCUUGGGUCCGUGUAAGAUUAAAACUCAAUAUCUAAAUGUGUUAAAGAGGAGCUGAAGAACCAUGUGAGGCUCAUGAUAUCUCAAAGCCCAACCUCUUAGAUAAAAGUUAAAACAAAUUCUCUAAAGGGGUGUAUUGAAUUAAUGAUUUUAGGAGAUUGUGGGAUUUGGUCAUGUUAUUCAAGUAAUGAUUUGAAAAAAGAAAUCCAAAUCAUGUGUUAUUCAAUAUGUUAUUCAAUAUGAAAUUUGUAUAAAAUUAUUAUAAAUCACUUACAAUCCCUUUUUAUUCAAUUAACAAUUUGUAAAACUUAUAUCAAAUCCACUUUUAUUCAAAGCUAAAUAAGAUUUUAAAAAGAAAAUUUGUGAAAAUAAUUUGAGGAGAGUUUACAUCAUCUUUUAGUUAAAAAUACCUCCUACAGAAUAACAAAUCUAUUGGUGUUAUUUGAAGAGAAUUAUGUUUUAUCUCUCUCCCUCAAUUAUUUUCUUAAGAAAGAAUUGUGAGACACCCCCUCUGGUUUCGACUUCGUCACCUUCAUUAUACAAACAAUUGCAUUUACUUGUUUCUGUCGCAAAUCAGUCGAAGACGAAUCUCAACUCUUCCUACUCCUGUUCCAACUUCUUGAUUUCCUCACUUGCAUCCCGAAUAACUAUUCGAUCGAGUACACCAACGUAGCAACGGGACGGAAAGAGUGAGGGCAAGUUCAUGGCUCUCGUUCGGCUUAUCUAUUUUCGGAAGCUUUCAUCACUUCUUGCAGUAGAAAUAUGAUUGAUUGGAGUUGCCACGCCCUGGAUGGCUACGAGCUGCUUUCUUCUUGACUCAUAAGCUCAUACGCUAAGAACCAGUUCUUGUGAGUUUGUUCUUUAUCUUUUCCCUCACAUCCCUCUUCCUUGAUAUGUUUUUAGUCAUAAAUUGAUGAAUUUUAUGAUUUCAUUUACAUAUGAUGAUUUACAAAACAUGGGGACUGAUUGUUUUGCUAAAGCGAAAACAUGUUCAUGAUUUGAUACACAAAUCACUAUAUGAAGCAAAAGAUGGCUACUUCUCUCAAGAAUCACAAUCUGAUGGGGCUUUGGAGAGAAGAAUUGAGUUCAACCGGGUUAAAACCUUGAAAGUUGGGGUCUUAUUUGGAGCACUACUAGUUUUCUCUAUGUAUCCUGGGAGGGAGGCGUACGUGAAGUUACUGAAGAAAAUUUACAAGAAGAGUGACAAUUGUUUACUCUAGUGGAACUCUUCAAAUUGAAGUGUCGUAGAUAUGUUCUUUAUGUUUUCUUGGAAUAGCCUUCCCGUGUUGUAGUUCUUGUAGCCUUGAUGUCAAUCAUCGUCUAUGCAUCUAUGUGUAUGAGUUUCAACUAUGCAAUGUUUUGAGCAAUUUUGACAUUAAUUAGAAGGAAUAUGACGUGGUAUAGGUUCAUGCGAACAUGGCAGAUGUAUCAGUAGUGAUGCCGAGAGAAGCCGCCAUUGCUUAUAACUUUGUGGUUCUUUUAUCUUGUUUAAGAUAAGGCAUUCACUACCUCUCCAUAUCUCUAAAAUAUUACUGUAACUCUUGUUUUCUUUUUUCACUCGGUAUAUUAGUGGUGGACUGUUGGCAA